rnacentral:rRNA from 1 species
GAUGAACGCUGGCGGCGUGCCUAAUACAUGCAAGUCGAACGGACGGACGAGAAUCUUGCGUUUCUGAUUUUAGAGGCGGACGGUUAAGUAACACGUAGAUAACCUACCUAUAAGACUGAGAUAAGGUAGGUAAACCGGAUCUAAUACCGGAUAAUAUUUUGAACGGCAGGGUUUGGAAGUGAAAGACGGUCGUGCUUUCACUUAUAGAUGGAUCGCUGCUGCUUUAGCUAGUGGGUCAGGUAACGGGUUACCAAGGCAACGAUGCAUAGCCGAACUGAGAGAGUGAUAGGCCACACUGGAGCGUAGACGCGGUCCAGACUACUACGGGAGGGCGCAGUAGGGAACGUUAGGCAACGGGCGAAAACAUGACGGAGCGACGGCGCGUGAGAGAUGGAGGCCUUCGGUGCGUAAAACCCUCUUAUUAGGGAAAAACAGAUGUGUAAGUAGAUGUGGCCAUCUUGACGGUACCUAAUCAAAAAGCAACGGCUAACUACGUG